CAAUGACCAUGGAAAGAGGAAGAAGGAAAGGGUAGCUAGGAGUAAUUCUACCCUCAACAGGAGGAGAAGGAUGAGGAUGGUGGACUUCCAGUGCAGCACAGAACAAUGGAGAAGUGUUGACAAGUGAUUCAGCCUGCUAGUAGAGAUAUGAAGCACUGGAGGAGAAAGGGAAGGAAGAGACCACAGAAAGUGAGGCAGGAGCUAAGAAAAAAGAGUACAAGGAAGGAUGAUUGGAAAGAAGCAGAUCAUUCUCAGAAUGCUUGAAAAACCUUUUACGUGCAUUCUCAGAACAUACGAUGUCUGAAAAAAAGACGGCAGUACCGAUGAAUAAACCCAGCUGUAAGAUGUGAUUUAACUUUCAUUAUUGACUCAGUAGAUACUAUCACACCACCUCCCAAUUCUUAAAUUCAGUAAGAACAGCAAAGACUCGGAUCUGUGACAUUUAUGUUAGAGUCUCAAUCAGUGCCUCAGGAAGUGCUGAGUUACAAAGAGCAUCAGCUUGGGAGAAGGACACAGACUGAACAAGCACAACAAUAAAGGAGGAUCUUCUUUGAUCAGAAA